CCCGGCCUCUUACAAACAUUGGAAGCUUAAUUUAAAGUGCAUUGGCCUCCGUGGUGCCUGUUCGAGGGUUUCCUUGCAUCCGCUCUCCUCCCUGGCAACUGAGAAACAGCGAGAAGCCUCAUCAGGUGGAUGAAUGAGGACUAGACAGAGGGCCUCAGGGAGAAGAAACAGAACAGAGGACAGCGGCAUCUCCUCUCCCAACUUAUCCAGAGGCCAGAUCCUGAAGAGGGGAGACAGUUGGGAGUUACCGAUCGCCCACCCACUACCCACUAGAAGAUCUAUACCUUUUUAUUACUUUGCCCUUGAGAUGAUUGGGAUUGCCUCCAUUUUACAAGCAGCAAAACCAAGAUCCCAAAAGGUAACCGAGGCUCUGCUAGGACAUACAUGAAACUGCAGAGCCAGAACUCAGCCUCAGAUGGCCUGGCUCCAAAGUCCAUAACCUUCCCCACUGUUUCCAGCCCUGCCCUGCCUCUCAGGAUUAGGCAUGUGUUUGUCGAUGCUACCAACUGAACAGACACAGACCUCUUUCACCCUGAUCAAGAGGCAUCCUUACAGGGUCUGGGUUAUGGAAAGAAAUUCUCCAAGGCACCAAUAAAAUCCUGCUCUGGAGUGCAAGAAGGCCUUUUUGGAAAUACUUCCUAAUAAAGUUGACACUGACCUCCCCAAAGCAAAAACAGAAGGGAACUAGAUCAGUCAAAAGCAGAGUAGGUAGAUAAUAAAGCCUCAC